rnacentral:pre_miRNA from 1 species
CUAGUACUCCUCCGUCUGAAAAAGCUUGUCCCAAGCUUGUCCCUCAAAUGGAUGUAUCUAGCACUAACUUGGUGCUAGAUACAACCAUUUGAGGGACAAGCUUUUUCGGACGGUGGGAGUUACAA